UGCAGUCUCGUUCCUGAAUCUCUGCUGUCAGGAAAGCAGGCCUGGCCCCAUGUUAUUGUCUCUUGUUUUGUACCAAAAAUAAACCGUUGGAUCCUGCUGUGGCUCUCCUCCAGUGUCUGCUGCUCUUCUGCGUUUCUUCUUGACUUCAUAGCUCGGAUCCACAUAGCCUUCCUGCCAUCAAACACUGCUGUUCCAGUAGAGCAUCUUUCAGUUCUCUGGUUCUUCCUGUUAAUCUUCAGGUUUUUAGAUUCCUUUCUGAACCUCACAGCAUGUUUGAUGUUUGUUGACAGAGGUCAUGUGAAGCUGAGUGUGCAAUGCUCCAGGAGCAGAAAGAUCACAGUGGCUUCAGCCUGCAAACAGGCUGAGUGGAGAGAUGUGCCCAUGCCCACAUGGACCUGCUGA
rnacentral:lncRNA from 1 species